rnacentral:rRNA from 1 species
GAUGAACGCUGGCGGCGUGCCUAAUACAUGCAAGUCGAGCGAACGGACGAGACGCUUGCUUCUCUGAUGUUAGCGGCGGACGGGUGAGUAACACGUGGAUAACCUACCUAUAAGACUGGGAUAACUUCGGGAAACCGGAGCUAAUACCGGAUAAUAUUUUGAACCGCAUGGUUCAAAAGUAAAAGACGGUCUUGCUGUCACUUAUAGAUGGAUCCGCGCUGCAUUAGCUAGUUGGUAAGGUAACGGCUUACCAAGGCAACGAUGCAUAGCCGACCUGAGAGGGUGAUCGGCCACACUGGAACUGAGACACGGUCCAGACUACUACGGGAGGCAGCAGUAGGGAAUCUUCCGCAAUGGGCGAAAGCCUGACGGAGCAACGCCGCGUGAGUGAUGAAGGUCUUCGGAUCGUAAAACUCUGUUAUUAGGGAAGAACAUAUGUGUAAGUAACUGUGCACAUCUUGACGGUACCUAAUCAGAAAGCCACGGCUAACUACGUG